GGGUGACCGAGGUGCAGUGUUGUCAUACGAGAUCUUCCCGGCGUGGAAGUGUUUUGCGUCGUGGUCGGUAGGACUGCAGAGACGUAAGAUGCAGAGAUGAUUGAAGUCCCAGCUGAGCUCAUUAUCCCAAUCCCCCCGACGCUCAGUGAGGGCUUAAGGUCUUAAAGUAACGAUUCAAACAUGAUUUGUAUUAAAGGCAACGAUCUCCCGAGCUGGAAAAUCAAAUUACUGAAAUCCGAGGGAAAAAAGGAAGAUAUAUCACAAAAAUAUAAUUGUUUCUGACUUUCUAAAUCAUAGCAAAGAUAAAGGACUUGGAACAGCAGCAGCAAAAACUUUUCUGGUUCUCUCAUUCUUCUAUCAGUGCGACUCUUCCCACGGCCUGUAUCACUGAGCUGCAGCAGGCAGUCCGCAGACACACGGGGAGCGGCACAGUCCCGGGUUCGAGCGCAAGUCUGUCGUGCUGACAUUAAAUCCACAGGCCCAUCUCUUCAUUCACUGUUUCUAUUACAACAGAUGUUUGCUUGAUGCAAAACAGCUUUAAGAUCUUAGUGCUGGAACAUGCUGCUAAUCAGGUUUGUUCACAUGAAGCACUGUUGGUGCUUAAAAUAUCUUGUUCUCACGCCGGCAGAAUCAGCGAGGAACCUAGUCAUAUGCAGCCAAAUGGCACAAGGUGUUAACAAAGAAAGCAAGGAGAAAUUUGAGACUGUGUGUUUCCCAGCCCAUGAGGAAAAAUGCAAAGCUUAACAUGUUUAAAUAUGGAAGACUGCCGUUGCACGCGCCGCUCACAGAAAUCAGAAGGCAAGCCGAAGGUGGAAUACCAGGGUGGCUUUGCGAGCUUCCUGCAUUUCCUGCAAGUUUGAGCUCAGGACGGGUAUGGAUGACGUCGUCGUUAUGAUGUCAUCGUGUCGGCGGGGGAUGUGAUGUCACAUAGGUGUGGGGGAGACGCAGUGCAGUUGCCUGUAGUGCAGAGAGACAGAUGGGGGAGGGACGGGGAGCGUCUUUGCUAAACCAAGCAGAUGGAUGGAUGGAUGCAAAACAAAAACCCCAAAGCAACAUGCAACUGCUGCAGGAGCUCUCGACCGGCCCUAGCGGGCUUCCUUUCAGUCAUUUAUAGCUCUCGUCGAAGAGGGGCGCUGUUGUGGAUGGGUGCCCUGUUUUUGCCUCCGAGGUCCAGCCUUUGAGCAUCUCGGCGGGCAUCAAGGCUGAGCUUGCAGUAGCUCUUCCCCCUCGGGCCCAGGAUUUCUCCUCAACCCCGCGAGCUCCGCCUGCAGGAUUUAUUCGGACACCCUUCCCCGGCGCCCCCGGCUCCGCACGAUCGACCCGUGGGGGUGUGCCGCGUGCUCGAGCUUUGAAGAAGAGUAUUGAUCGCUGUUGAAAGAAGCAAACCUUCCCUGCGCGCGCCGCAUUGUGAGUGCGGUCCGGCCCGAUCAAUAGCGCUGUUCGGAGCCGGUGCAGGUAGAGAGAGAGAGGGAGAGGGAGAGAGAUGGGAAAGGAGUGGGAGUAGGGAGGAAUCCCCUGGUGGCAGAGCUAUGAGUGAAAACAGACUCCGUGGUGAAGAUGAGAAAACAAAGGUGAGGGUUCAGAGGAA